GAUGAACGCUGGCGGCGUGCCUAAUACAUGCAAGUCGAGCGAACAGAUAAGGAGCUUGCUCCUUUGACGUUAGCGGCGGACGGGUGAGUAACACGUGGGUAACCUACCUAUAAGACUGGGAUAACUUCGGGAAACCGGAGCUAAUACCGGAUAAUAUUUCGAACCGCAUGGUUCGAUAGUGAAAGAUGGUUUUGCUAUCACUUAUAGAUGGACCCGCGCCGUAUUAGCUAGUUGGUAAGGUAACGGCUUACCAAGGCGACGAUACGUAGCCGACCUGCGAGGGUGAUCGGCCACACUGGAACUGAGACACGGUCCAGACUCCUACGGGAGGCAGCAGUAGGGAAUCUUCCGCAAUGGGCGAAAGCCUGACGGAGCAACGCCGCGUGAGUGAUGAAGGUCUUCGGAUCGUAAAACUCUGUUAUUAGGGAAGAACAUACGUGUAAGUAACUGUGCACGUCUUGACGGUACCUAAUCAGAAAGCCACGGCUAACUACGUG
rnacentral:rRNA from 1 species